rfam:Asian citrus Psyllid, Diaphorina citri - Florida Strain, whole genome shotgun sequence.
GCUCCCAUGGCGUAGUGGUAACUGCACUCGCCUUGCACGCGGGAGACCCGGGUUCGAUUCCCGGCGGGGUCA